UGAAGAUAAUAUAUAAUAAAGAAAUACCUAGGAAUCCAUUAGUUUCUCGAAUAAUGGUAGUAAAUAGUUUUUUUUGUCGUUUUUCAUUAACUUAGCCCAACAGGGCUUAAAAUAAAGGUAUACAUGAUUACAAGUCCAUCAAAAGCCCAGCAAACUAAACCUUACUACAAAUAUGACAUGUUAAAAGCUUCACUAAACACGUGUGAGCUUUUGAGAGUAGCUUUGUCCACGUGGCGUCAGUAGAAAGAGAAAAUGAUGUCAUCACUGAAACCUAUCACCGGUGACUGUUGUAGUUGCCGGCGAAACUCAUCCGUCCACCAUGGCCACUAAGCUGUUAACGCCAAGAUGUGUACCUUCGCUUCAUACCUUCCUUACUGAUCUAUAAUCAGAAAUUCUUCUUCUCCACAAAGCCAUCACCAUUCAUCAAGUCUCAUGACCUGUCUUCCUCUGCUUUGAAAAAGCGUUUUUAUAGGGGACUUUAGAGAGGUAAUACUCUCGGUCAAAAUGAGUAGAUAAAUCAAAAGAUGAAAAAGACAAAUUAUAAUUGAAGCACCACUAGAUUUAGGAAGGGAAAAGCUUCAUUUUGCUCUAUCGCUAGAUGAAUUGAGCGUUUCAACCUUUGAAUAUCAAGAGUUCAAUUCUUCUACUUUUAGAGAACCUUUGCUCCACUAAGGAUUAGCAAAGAAAUUUACUCUUUUGCAUGAGAAGAAUUAAUCAGAUACUGAUGAAAUGAGAAAACGCACAAAACAGUUUGGAAUUUUUCCAUUUAGAACAAGCAAAAGUAGAAGAAACAAAGAAAAAGAAAUCCGUUAAACGGAAGAUAACAGAUCCGACUAAUAGAAAAUAUAAACAAACAAAAAACAUCUACUUUAGUCGGAAUUAUUUAAUCCGAUUAAGAUCGGAAGAAAACUUGAGCUCUCUCUCUGAAAGAUUUUUAAGAGAGAAGAGAGAGAGAUGUGGCUG
rnacentral:lncRNA from 1 species